rnacentral:lncRNA from 1 species
CGGGAUAAGAGAUAGAGGAGAGCGGCCGUGAAAAGCAGAAGAAUAACAUUAUAACCUAAGGGCAACAAUCAUCAUGAUCCGAAGGUCUCAAGGAGAUCAUCGAAGAGAUUAACAAUCGCCUUUCCUAUCGCAUCCGGCCGUCAAAACCUAGAAAAGUAACAAGAAUUGGUUAAACAUGCCAUUUAAUUAUUUUAAGCAACUGUUUCUUUUGAUUGUAUAUAUCAUCUAGAGAUUCCAAUUUCUUUUUCUUUUUUUUUUAAAUUCAAGAAAUAGGAAACGGUUAUUUUAUUAGUCAAACUCAAGGCGGCCUGGGUAACCAUACCAGAAUAUAACAACCAACAAAACAAAGAUUUGUAGACAUUUUUGCUAAUGAAUCUGCAACUCCAUUGUGCACACAAGGGACAAAUACUAUUGAGGAUUUCCCGAGAUUUCCUUUUAGCCUUGCAAUUUUUGGAUCUUGAAUCAUUUUGAUUAGCUGCCGACCAUCUGUUCCAAAAAUCACACGUUGAAUGUUUAAUCAUACUCUCCGUAGACCAUAAGUGUCUCAACUUCAGAAUGGAAUGGAGAUAAAUAUGCAUUGGUUUUUAGACCGUUGAAGCUAUGUUCUUCCAUUCAUCAUUUUCCAUACCCACCCACAUUCACUGAAAGGUGUAUCAUG